UGGGGAAUUUUGGACAAUGGGCGAAAGCCUGAUCCAGCAAUGCCGCGUGUGUGAAGAAGGCCUUCGGGUUGUAAAGCACUUUUGUCCGGAAAGAAAUCCUUGGCUCUAAUACAGUCGGGGGAUGACGGUACCGGAAGAAUAAGCACCGGCUAACUACGUGCCAGCAGCCGCGGUAAUACGUAGGGUGCAAGCGUUAAUCGGAAUUACUGGGCGUAAAGCGUGCGCAGGCGGUUUGCUAAGACCGAUGUGAAAUCCCCGGGCUCAACCUGGGAACUGCAUUGGUGACUGGCAGGCUAGAGUAUGGCAGAGGUGGGUAGAAUUCCACGUGUAGCAGUGAAAUGCGUAGAGAUGUGGAGGAAUACCGAUGGCGAAGGCAGCCCCCUGGGCCAAUACUGACGCUCAUGCACGAAAGCGUGGGGAGCAAACAGGAUUAGAUACCCUGGUAGUCCACGCCCUAAACGAUGUCAACUAGUUGUUGGGGAUUCAUUUCCUUAGUAACGUAGCUAACGCGUGAAGUUGACCGCCUGGGGAGUACGGUCGGCAAGAUUAAAACUCAAAGGAAUUGACGGGGUCAUAGCUGUUUCCU
rnacentral:rRNA from 1 species